CCUACGGGUGGCAGCAGUGGGGAAUAUUGGGCAAUGGGCGCAAGCCUGACCCAGCAACGCCGCGUGAAGGAAGAAGGCUUUCGGGUCGUAAACUUCUUUUCUGGGGGACGAACAACUGACGGUACCCCAGGAAUAAGCCACGGCUAACUACGUGCCAGCAGCCGCGGUAAUACGUAGGGGGCAAGCGUUAUCCGGAUUUAUUGGGUGUAAAGGGCGUGUAGGCGGGAAUGCAAGUCAGAUGUGAAAACUCAGGGCUCAACCCUGAGACUGCAUUUGAAACUGUGUUGCUUGAGUGCUGGAGAGGCAAUCGGAAUUCCGUGUGUAGCGGUGAAAUGCGUAGAUAUACGGAGGAACACCAGUGGCGAAGGCGGAUUGCUGGACAGUAACUGACGCUGAGGCGCGAAAGCGUGGGGAGCAAACAGGAUUAGAUACCCGUGUAGUC
rnacentral:rRNA from 1 species